rnacentral:rRNA from 1 species
UACGUAGGGUGCGAGCGUUUGUCCGGAAUUAUUGGGCGUAAAGAGCUCGUAGGCGGUGUGUCGCGUCCGGCCGUGAAAACCUGGGGCUCAACUCUGGGCGUGCGGUCGAUACGGGCAUCACUUGAGUUCGGCAGGGGAGACUGGAAUUCCUGGUGUAGCGGUGAAAUGCGCAGAUAUCAGGAGGAACACCGAUGGCGAAGGCAGGUCUCUGGGCAAUUAAACUGA